AUUGAACGCUGGCGGCAUGCCUUACACAUGCAAGUCGAGCGGCAGCGGACCUUCGGGUGCCGGCGAGUGGCGAACGGGUGAGUAAUAUAUCGGAACGUACCUUUCAGUGGGGGAUAACGUAGCGAAAGUUACGCUAAUACCGCAUAUUCUGUGAGCAGGAAAGUAGGGGAUCGCAAGACCUUGCGCUGAUUGAGCGGCCGAUAUCAGAUUAGCUAGUUGGUGAGGUAAAGGCUCACCAAGGCGACGAUCUGUAGCGGGUCUGAGAGGAUGAUCCGCCACACUGGAACUGAGACACGGUCCAGACUCCUACGGGAGGCAGCAGUGGGGAAUUUUGGACAAUGGGCGCAAGCCUGAUCCAGCCAUGCCGCGUGAGUGAAGAAGGCCUCGGUU
rnacentral:rRNA from 1 species